AAUCGCCAUUGCUGAUUCGUGCCAAGGGCGAUAAAAAUUGCCCGGUAGCGAUCUCUCUGCCGGUUGACUCACCUCCAACUGGAGAACGUCUAAUUCUAUUACCUCAUUAGGGAUAUUCAAAAUUUUCUACUGAUCUUAUAACACUACUAACAUUUUAUAGAAGACUAACAUUGCGAAAGCUGACAAGGUAUCAACGCCUUAACUUGAUUACACUACGUUGCUGUCUAAACUUCGUUAUGCGUGCUGGGAGGAUGAAAGUUUACACAAAUGUUCCCAUGCUGCGAACAAAGAGGACUGUUCUUCAAUUAGUAAGUUUCAGCCUGCAGCAUGGAUAGCCGAAGAAGAGAAUCAGCGACCCGGGUCGCGGGACCCGUCGGGACGUUGUUGGUCGUCAGGCGUCGACCUUGAAACACCAGGUCGGAGAACCGAGAGAGGUUUCGCCUUGGGUAAUCGGUGCCGCGGACUCGAAAACUAGGCCUGCGCCUGCGGUGACGUCGCCGCUACGUCGCGAUGUACGCGAAUAUGAACGAGACACGAAGAGGGACGUUGAGAGGCGGAGGGUAGGUGGAAGGCGAACGGAGGAUGCCGAAGGUGGAACGAGUAAGAGAGAGAAAGGGAUAGAGCGAGGUGCGUUCGCGGUAACGAAACAAAUAGGCCGGCGACUUUCACCGCGUAGCCAAGAACGGCUAUACACGACACAGCCAACAACCGAGCGCUCUUGGCCCAAACCACUCGAGUACGAGUGUAUACCCUCGUUCACCGUUCCCGUGCUUUAACACCGCGCAGGUGGGGGGAAUCCUGCUUGGAGAAGCGGACACGAGGCAUACCCUGAGCAGCGAACGGUCCUCGAUUCUUUUUCUUUCGGCCGUGUCGCACGUGUUGUCUCUGUCCUUUGGCCGGUGCUCCGCUGUUCCGUUCGCCAACGCAUCGUCGAUUCCUUCGCCUCGAUUUUAUUCACCGUGACGAAUUUACGGUCUCUCCUUUGUCACCUUGCGUUAGCCGUGCCGUACCGUGCCGUGGUGCACGCGGAUCCUUUCCUCCAGAAGAGAUCUCGCGACAGUCAAUAUGCGCUCUUGCCAUUGAAUCGCACAUUAUCGGUUUUCGUUGGCCCGCGAGUGAUUAGUGCGAGGACCAAACAAGGAGUUUAUGAAACAUUGAAUUGUAAGAGAGAAAUGCAAGGGUGUGUGUUGGUUCUGUGGUGACGAUGAUCCGACGACGACCACCCAGAGGACAAUCGCCGUUACUCUGCUCCCUCAUCUGGCUACUUUGGAUCGUCCUGCCUGCUGGAACCGGAGUGCUGCACAAUUAUGCGGAUAAACAGAGAUACGACGGAUGGUACAACAAUCUCGCGCAUCCGGAUUGGGGAUCAAUUGACAGCAGGCUGAUACGAAAGAUGCCAGCAGCAUAUUCAGAUGGGGUGUACAUGAUGGCAGGACAGGAUAGACCUUCGCCAAGAAAAUUGAGUCAGUUAUUCAUGCAAGGUGACGACGGUCUUCCUUCGGUCAAGAACAGAACAGCGUUGUUCGCGUUUUUUGGGCAACUGGUCACGUCAGAAAUAAUCAUGGCCAGCGAAAGCGGCUGCCCCAUAGAGUAUCACCGAAUCGACGUGGACAAAUGCGAUCCGGUUUUCGACAAGGAGUGCCAAGGUAACAAGUACAUUCCCUUCCGUCGGGCUGAUUACGAUCGACAAACCGGACGAAGCCCUAAUAGCCCUCGUGAACAGAUAAACAAAGUGACGAGCUGGAUCGACGGUAGCUUCAUUUAUUCGAGCAGCGAGGCAUGGGCGAAUACUAUGAGAUCCUUCAAGAACGGCAGCCUCCUCAUGGAACCAACAAGAAAAUUUCCUGUGAGAAACACGAUGCGCGCUCCGCUUUUUAAUCAUGCGGUGCCACAUGUGAUGAGGAUGCUCAGUCCUGAACGUCUCUAUCUUCUCGGAGAUCCACGAACGAAUCAACAUCCACCGUUGUUGGCAUUGGGAAUACUUUUUUAUCGAUGGCACAAUGUUCUAGCAGCUCGUAUACAACAAGAGAAUCCUAAUAUGUCUGACGAGGAUAUCUUUCAGAAAGCACGCCGAAUAGUUAUAGGAACUCUUCAGAAUAUCAUUUUGUACGAGUAUAUUCCUAUAUUGUUGAACGAGGACGUGCCUCCUUACGCUGGAUACAAACCAGAUCUCCAUCCUGGUAUCAGUCACAUAUUUCAAAGCGCCGCCUUUAGAUUUGGACACACUCUGAUACCGCCUGGUAUAUACAGGCGCGAUGAGAGUUGCGAAUAUAGGAGAACCAAUACGGAUCAAGCAGCGAUACGACUGUGUUCCACCUGGUGGGACUCGAAUGAGGUCUUAACUAACAGUACCAUCGAGGAACUAAUCAUGGGUAUGAGUUCCCAGAUAUCUGAGAAAGAAGAUAAUCUUCUCGGUACCGAUAUUAGGAACAACCUUUUCGGCCCCAUGGAAUUCUCUCGCAGAGAUUUAGGUGCUCUGAAUAUCAUGCGUGGGAGGGACAACGGUCUUCCGGAUUACAACACUGCCAGAGCGCAUUUCAAACUGCCCCGUAGAAAAACAUGGAACGAAAUCAAUCCAGAAUUGUUCAACAAGAACCCUUCUCUGCUACGUACAUUAGUUGAGAUCCAUUCGAACAAUCUAAAUAAUGUAGACGUAUACGUUGGUGGAAUGUUAGAGUCCAGCGCUGGUCCAGGUGAACUGUUCUCAACGGUGAUUAAAGAACAGUUCCUUCGUUUGAGAGAUUCGGACAGGUUUUGGUUCGAGAAUUCAGAGACUGGGAUUUUUACCAGAGGUGAAAUCGAGGAGAUUCGUCGCGUUACUUUAUGGGAUGUAAUAGUAAACGCGACUGGAAUACCAUCGGAUGCUAUUCAGAUGAAUGUGUUCACAUGGGAGGAAGGAGACCCUUGCCCUCAACCUUAUCAGCUAAAUUCCACCAUGUUGGAGCCAUGCAUUCCAUUGCAACGUUACGAUUAUUUUGAGGGAAGCGAACUGGUGUACAUAUACGCCUGUAUUUUUCUCGGUUUCGUUCCAAUUCUCUGCGCCGGUGCCGGUUACGGCCUAGUCAAGCUCCAAAACCGGCGCAGAAGACGUUUAAAGAUCCUCCAAGAAGCGAUCCAAAAGCGAAACGACGGAAAAAUUUCAGUGGACAAGAUGAUCGUACGCGAAUGGUUGCACGCGAACCAUCGUCGUUUGGUCAAGGUGAAAUUCGGCCCGGAAGCUGCUUUGCACAUCGUCGAUCGUAAAGGGGAGAAACUGCGCACCUUCGAUUUCAACGAUGUGAACACGAUUACCAUGGAGGAGUCUCAGGAGAACGAGAAUGGGCAUCGGAAAGCAUUGGUAUUGUUACGAAUACCACGGGACUACGACCUUGUCCUUGAACUGGAUUCCUUGGCUUCGCGUAGAAAGUUUAUUGCGAAAUUGGAAGCAUUUCUAUCGUCCCAUAAGAAGCAUUUCACAAUGUCCCAAGUGAGUCGGGACAUAAUGCUGGCAAAAGCGGAAACGAAGGAGCGACGACAGAAGAAACUUGAACAGUUCUUCAGGGAAGCUUAUGCACUGACGUUUGGUCUGCGACCUGGUGAAAGGCGACGACGAUCCGAGGACAGCGACAGCGGCGAAGUGGUCACCGUGAUGAGGACGUCGCUUUCUAAAAGCGAGUUCGCCAGCGCGCUAGGCAUGCGGGCGGAUGCGGUCUUCGUGAAAAAAAUGUUUAACAUCGUUGAUAAAGACAGAGAUGGACGUAUUUCGUUUCAGGAAUUCCUCGAUACUGUUUUACUUUUCUCGCGAGGAAAAACCGAGGACAAACUGAGAAUCAUCUUCGACAUGUGCGACAAGGAUAGCAACGGAGUGAUCGACAAAGAAGAGCUAUCAGAGAUGCUUAGAUCCUUAGUAGAAAUCGCACGAACUACCAGUCUGUCUGACGAUCAUGUCACCGAGUUGAUCGACGGAAUGUUUCAAGAUGCUGGCCUAGAGAGGAAGGAUUACCUCACUUACAACGACUUCAAAUUGAUGAUGAAAGAGUACAAAGGCGAUUUCGUGGCGAUCGGUCUCGAUUGCAAAGGCGCGAAACAAAAUUUCCUCGACACGUCGACGAAUGUCGCUCGUAUGACGAGUUUCCAUAUCGAUCAACUUCCUCCAGAGGAUUCAAAGAGUUGGACACGCAAACAGUGGGACGCUGUGUCGACAUUCCUCGAGGAAAAUCGACAGAAUAUAUUUUACCUGUUCGUGUUUUACGUCACGACUAUCGCUCUUUUCGUCGAGAGAUUUAUCUAUUAUUCAUUUAUGGCUGAACAUACGGAUCUGAGACACAUAAUGGGUGUCGGAAUUGCCAUUACCAGAGGAUCUGCGGCUGCCCUGUCCUUUUGUUACAGUCUGCUACUUUUAACCAUGUCACGCAAUCUGCUGACAAAACUGAAAGAAUUCACCAUUCAACAGUACAUUCCUUUAGAUUCUCAUAUACAGUUCCAUAAAAUUGCAGCGUGUACCGCGCUGUUCUUUUCCGUUUUACAUACAGUGGGUCACAUGGUGAAUUUUUAUCAUAUCUCCACCCAGCCACUGGCUCAUCUUCGGUGUCUGACCAGUGAGAUCAGUUUUCCAAGCGAUGCUCGUUUGACGAUCUCGUUUUGGCUUUUCAAAACGGUAACAGGUUUGACCGGAAUCCUUCUGUUCAUCGUGAUGACGAUAAUCUUCGUCUUCGCUCAUCCUACUAUCCGUCAAAAAGCGUAUAAAUUCUUCUGGUCAACCCACAGUUUGUACGUUGUAUUAUACGCUUUGUGUUUGAUCCACGGUUUAGCUCGCUUAACGGGUUCGCCACGUUUCUGGAUAUUCUUUGUUGGUCCCGCCAUCAUUUACGCCCUCGACAAGGUAGUGAGUCUUCGAACCAAAUACAUGGCGUUGGACAUCAUUGAAACCGAGCUUUUACCAUCAGACGUGAUCAAAAUUAAGUUCUACAGACCUCCGAAUUUAAAGUACCUAUCUGGACAAUGGGUGCGUAUCUCGUGCACCGCCUUCAGGUCGAAUGAGUUUCAUUCUUUCACGUUAACUUCGGCACCGCACGAGAACUUCCUGUCGUGUCACAUCAAGGCGCAAGGACCUUGGACUUGGAAGCUGCGCAAUUAUUUCGAUCCUUGCAAUUAUAAUCCAGAGGAUGAGCAUCCGAAAAUCAGAAUAGAAGGUCCGUUUGGAGGUGGUAACCAAGACUGGUAUAAAUUCGAGGUCGCUGUGAUGGUCGGUGGUGGUAUCGGAGUCACUCCUUACGCGUCCAUGCUUAACGACCUCGUUUUUGGUACCUCUACCAACAGAUAUUCAGGUGUUGCUUGUAAAAAGGUUUAUUUCCUAUGGAUCUGUCCAUCGCACAAACACUUUGAGUGGUUCAUCGACGUGCUCAGGGACGUAGAGAGGAAGGAUGUAACGGACGUAUUAGAAAUUCAUAUAUUUAUCACGCAAUUUUUUCACAAGUUCGACUUACGUACUACCAUGCUGUACAUUUGCGAGAAUCAUUUUCAGAGGCUAUCUAAAAAAAGCAUAUUCACUGGGCUGAAAGCCAUCAAUCACUUUGGUCGGCCCGACAUGACUUCGUUUUUAAAGUUUGUUCAGAAGAAACAUAGUUAUGUCAGUAAAAUAGGAGUAUUUAGCUGCGGACCACGCCCCCUGACGAAGAGCGUGAUGUCAUCCUGUGACGAGGUGAAUAAAGGUCGUCGUUUACCGUACUUCAUUCAUCAUUUCGAAAACUUUGGCUAGUCUGAUCGAUGAACAGGAGAAGGACGAUGGACUCUAUCAUGAAUAUUCAUCUCUGGAACUCCUAGGAAACCUCGCUCUCCUUAGUUCUACGUAUAUUCUUCAGACAAUAAAAAUAGCUAUAUUUUACUCCUCUCCAUUUCUCCCAUAGGAGUUCUAGGGUUAACGAACAAUGAAACAGACUUGUGCGAGUG